rnacentral:lncRNA from 1 species
CCUCAGUGAGGGUAAUUUAGUAAGUUUCCCAAUACUUCGGUGUGUUCGAGAGCUUCAUAUUUUCCUCCAAACCCUCCCUCCUAAGGCCGGGUAUAGAAAACCCAGAGAGAGACAAAAGUCUCAGGGGAUGCCAGGGAAGCAGUUACACCAUUUUGCUCAAAGCUGACUGACUAGUGACUGUACCUCCAAAAUAACUCGUGCUAAUUUGUGCAUAAUUCUGCAUCUAUUGGGACAGUAGUGACAUUCUUAACCUGCAAACUCUUGUGGGGAGAGGCAUUUCACUUUCUUGCAGUUUCUGAAUUUCUUAGAGGCAUCCGGGGACUUCCCCCCACUCCCUCCCAAAAAGCUAGCAACUCGUGGGGGAGAAUAAGGAAUGCUGGGUUUAAAGCCAGAGAACCUGGUUUCCAGUAAUUCUGAACUAGCUCUGGACCUGCUUUCCUCACCUAUACAGGAGAGUGAUGAAAGUAACACCUACCUCACAGGGCUGGUGGGGGAUCGGUGAGAUAAUGUCUGGGAAUGCACUGCAGGGCCCUAGACAAAUGGCCGUCAUUAUAUUGUUCAUAAUCUCUUACAUUUUAUUAAGUACAUUAUAAUCUUGUAUCUUCCAUGCAGACCAAUGAGUCAGGCAAAGGAGGCAGUGACAUUAUUCCCAUUUUACAGACUUAAGAAACCAAGUUCAAGUGAUUUGCUCAAGGUCAGAUAGCUACUUAGUUAGGGUCAGCCAAGUCCAAGUCCAACAACAUAAUGUAAAUAUGUACAAUGUACAUAUUUCCUUUCCUCCUCCUGAGUUAGGGGUUGACUGCCCAGCUCGGGCAAGUCAAAAUAUUUGCAGAUCAUAGCCAUCCACCCCAACCAGUGACAGCAGUGAUGAUGAUGGCCCAUCUGUACCAGACUUGACCGACUUGAAGGUGGGACCGUGGGACCGGGAGGCCUCAGGGAGGGCUUCCCGCUCUGAGGCCCCGCCUUCUGGCGGCCCCCAGCAGGAAAGCGGGGCGGCAGCGGCGACCGGUCUCCGAAGCUAGGCAGUGGAAAUCCCCAGCACUGGUGCGGACUGGUGGGAACCCACUGGCACCCCUGCUCCCUGCUGAGGCCCAUGCGGAAGCCGAGCCCCGAGGUUCCUGGCUCCUGGGGAAGGGGUCCCUUGGAGAGGCCGGAGCAAGGCCCAACCCAGACGUUUGGUUUCACCGGGUCCAGCUUACCGCCAGGCACAGCGUUACCAAAAAAGGCCUUUCUCCUGCCAGAGCGCUUGGCUGCGUACGGCUGUGCAGCGGGGUGACGCGAGGUUCAGCCCGGGCCUCUUCGAAGGCUGAGCCAGUUGGCGGCAGGGAUGCCAGGCCGAAGAGUCCCCAGCCCGACCCAUCUCUGCCACAAAGGGCUCGAAACGGCUCGGAGACAGAAGGGAGACUGCAGGGAGCUCAGAAAUGUGUGGACACGCUGCGACCUUCUCACCCUUAAGGUUGGGCGGUGGUCUCUGGCAAGGCCAAGUGGAGAGUUGACCAGUUUAGAGGGGGACAGUUCUCUGAGGGUGUCAGCUCAGAUGGCACGCUGGAGGAGCGACAACCAUAGGAAGUAAAUUCAGGGAGGACUGCAGGCGUUUCCUCCUUGAGCCUGGUUGAACCUGGCUUUGCUGGUCUCCCAGACCCCACCUCCAGUCUCCCCACCUGCUGUCUUAAGUCGAGCCCCAGACCAACCCCAUCCUUCCCACCCACACUGUGGACACAGCACUGUCACAGGGGCUUCGCCUUCCAGGGAGAAUCUACCUCCAAAACAUUGAUGUUCUUGCUUCUCACAAUCCUGGACACAUCCCCAAAUAGGGCCAUCUCAGACAAGCAGUUAGGACAAAACUGACCGCCAUAAAUGACGGUGAUUCUUUGAGGGUGGAAGGGUGUCAAGAGAACUAUGCUUUUUAAAUUAAAGGAUUAUGAGACUGUAAUGGAAGUUUGUUUAAAUGCAUGUUUAUUUCUAACUCAGUGUGUCUGAAGACACCCGGCAUGUAUGUGUAUAUAUAUCUCUCCUUUAGUAACAGCGAAGACAGAGACAGACAGGGAGAUGGAGACAUAUGUGCACGCAUACCAAACAUAACACUGUGACAUAGACUCCAACUUGCUUUCUCUAGCAGCCUGGCUAGAGGGUUGGGGCUAGGUUGCUGUUCCUCAGUAUUUUUGGUUUAAUAAAGGGAUGGGCUGGAUAAAUAUUAAUGUAAAG